rnacentral:tRNA from 1 species
ACCUGGCUGGCUCAGUUGGCGGAGCAUAUGACUCGCGAUCUCAGAGUUGUGGGUUUGAGCCCCAUGUUGGGUG